UACGUAGGGUGCAAGCGUUGUCCGGAAUUAUUGGGCGUAAAGAGCUCGUAGGCGGUUUGUCGCGUCGAAUGUGAAAACCCGGGGCUCAACUCCGGGCCUGCAUUCGAUACGGGCAGACUAGAGUUCGGUAGGGGAGACUGGAAUUCCUGGUGUAGCGGUGAAAUGCGCAGAUAUCGGGAGGAACACCGGUGGCGAAGGCAGCUCGCUGGGACGGUACUGACGCUGAGACGCGAAAGCGUGGGGAGCGAACAGG
rnacentral:rRNA from 1 species